rnacentral:rRNA from 1 species
UACAGAGGUCUCAAGCGUUGUUCGGAUUCAUUGGGCGUAAAGGGUGCGUAGGUGGCGCUGUAAGUCGGGUGUGAAAUUUCGGAGCUUAACCCCGAAACUGCAUUCGAUACUGCGGUGCUUGAGGACUGGAGAGGAGACUGGAAUUCAUGGUGUAGCAGUGAAAUGCGCAGAGAUCAUGAGGAAGACCAGUGGCGAAGGCGGGUCUCUGGACAGUUCCUGACACUGAGGCACGAAGGCCAGGGGAGCAAACGGG